GUCGAACGAUGACCCCGUGCUUGCACGGGUGAUUAGUGGCGAACGGGUGAGUAACACGUGAGUAACCUGCCCCUGACUCUGGGAUAAGCCCGGGAAACUGGGUCUAAUACUGGAUACGACCUUAAACCGCAUGGUUUUUGGUGGAAAGAUUUAUCGGUUGGGGAUGGACUCGCGGCCUAUCAGCUUGUUGGUGAGGUAAUGGCUCACCAAGGCGACGACGGGUAGCCGGCCUGAGAGGGUGACCGGCCACACUGGGACUGAGACACGGCCCAGACUCCUACGGGAGGCAGCAGUGGGGAAUAUUGCACAAUGGGCGAAAGCCUGAUGCAGCGACGCCGCGUGAGGGAUGACGGCCUUCGGGUUGUAAACCUCUUUCAGUAGGGAAGAAGCGAAAGUGACGGUACCUGCAGAAGAAGCGCCGGCUAACUACGUGCCAGCAGCCGCGGUAAUACGUAGGGCGCAAGCGUUAUCCGGAUUUAUUGGGCGUAAAGAGCUCGUAGGCGGUUUGUCGCGUCUGCCGUNGAAGUCCGAGGCUCAACCUCGGAUCUGCGGUGGGUACGGGCAGACUAGAGUGAUGUAGGGGAGACUGGAAUUCCUGGUGUAGCGGUGAAAUGCGC
rnacentral:rRNA from 1 species